UACGGGGGGGAGCAAGCGUUGUUCGGAUUUACUGGGCGUAAAGAGCGCGCAGGCGGUUGGAUAAGUCGAAUGUGAAAGCCCCCGGCUUAACUGGGGAGGGUCAUUCGAUACUGUUUGACUUGAAGGCAGGAGAGGGCAGCAGAAUUCCCGGUGUAGUGGUGAAAUGCGUAGAUAUCGGGAGGAAUACCAGUGGCGAAGGCGGCUGCCUGGCCUGUUCUUGACGCUGAGGCGCGAAAGCUGGGGGAGCAAACGGGG
rnacentral:rRNA from 1 species